rnacentral:pre_miRNA from 1 species
ACUAGAAUUGCUGGAUCAUAAGGUAAGAGUGUAUUUAGUUCUGCAAGAAAUUGCCAAACUGCCUUCCAGAAUUACUAUACCAUUUUUCAUCCCCACCAGCAAU